rnacentral:tRNA from 1 species
GCCCAGAUGGCGGAAUUGGUAGACGCGCNNGGACGUGGAGGUUCAAGUCCUCUUCUGGGCACCA